AUUGAACGCUGGCGGCAUGCCUAACACAUGCAAGUCGAACGAUGAUUAAGAGCUUGCUCUUAUGAUUAGUGGCGGACGGGUGAGUAAUGUAUAGGGAUCUGCCUGUUAGUGGGGGACAACAGCCGGAAACGGCUGCUAAUACCGCAUACGCUCUACGGAGGAAAGUGGGGGACCCUCGGGCCUCACGCUAACAGAUGAACCUAUAUUGGAUUAGCUAGUUGGUAGGGUAAAGGCUUACCAAGGCGACGAUCCAUAGCUGGUUUGAGAGAAUGAUCAGCCACACUGGGACUGAGACACGGCCCAGACUCCUACGGAGGCAGCAGUGGGGAAUAUUGACAAUGGGCGCAAGCCUGAUCCAGCAAUGCCGCGUGUGUGAAGAAGGCCUUCGGGUUGUAAAGCACUUUAAGUUGGGAGGAAAAGCUAAGGGUUAAUAGCCUUUAGUGUUGACGUUACCAACAG
rnacentral:rRNA from 1 species